UCCUGAAGCCACAUUGCCUCUGGCUGUGAUCUUAUUAGAUCUUGUAAUGUAAACAGGGUUGGGCCUGCUUGGUACUUGAGUGGGAGGUCUCCAGAGAGCCUCAAAUGCUUCAGGAA
ensembl:rRNA 5S_rRNA 5S ribosomal RNA